rnacentral:rRNA from 1 species
GAUGAACGCUGGCGGUGUGCCUAAUACAUGCAAGUCGAGCGAACAGACGAGGAGCUUGCUCCUUCGACGUUAGCGGCGGGCGGGUGAGUAACACGUAGAUAACCUACCUAUAAGACUGGGAUAACUUCGGGAAACCGGAGCUAAUACCGGAUAAUAUUUCGAACCGCAUGGUUCGAUAGUGAAAGAUGGCUUUGCUAUCACUUAUAGAUGGAUCCGCGUCGUAUUAGCUAGUUGGUAAGGUAACGGCUUACCAAGGCAACGAUGCGUAGCCGACCUGAGAGGGUGAUCGGCCACACUGGAACUGAGACACGGUCCAGACUCCUACGGGAGGCAGCAGUAGGGAAUCUUCCGCAAUGGGCGAAAGCCUGACGGAGCAACGCCGCGUGAGUGAAGAAGGUCUUCGGAUCGUAAAACUCUGUUAUUAGGGAAGAACAAACGUGUAAGUAACUAUGCACGUCUUGACGGUACCUAAUCAGAAAGCCACGGCUAACUACGUG